CUAGAUGACCUUUUAAAGUCCUUUCCAGCUCUACUUCUUAUAAUUUUAUAUGAAGAUAGGAGUAGGUUUUGCAACUUUGCUUAUCUCAAAUAGUAGCCAGUUCCACGAGGAGAUCUAUUUGAAGUGGUUCACCACACCAUGGCCACAACUUCAAAAGUGUCAGAUGAUCAUCAGACAUCACUCCUGUCUAGCAGAGAAAUGCAAACAUCCUUACCAUCAAGAGAGCUAAGUGGGGUAGUACUGAAGCAUGCCAGGCAAGGAAGUCACUUCAAAGUAAAGCUGAAACACGUGAAGAAGUUGUGGGGGAGAGAGCACUAGGAGGAGGAAAUUAGUUUGACCU